rnacentral:rRNA from 1 species
CGUAGGGGGCGAGCGUUGUUCGGAAUUACUGGGCGUAAAGGGCAUGUAGGCGGUUUUGUAAGCCUGACGUGAAAGGCUGUGGCUCAACCACGGCACUGCGUUGGGAACUGCGAGACUUGAAUCAUGGAGAGGGAGCUGGAAUUCCAGGUGUAGGGGUGAAAUCUGUAGAUAUCUGGAAGAACACCAGUGGCGAAGGCGAGCUCCUGGCCAAUGAUUGACGCUGAGGUGCGAAAGUGUGGGGAUCAAACAGGAUUAGAGACCCUGGUAGUCCACACUGUCAACGAUGUGCACUAGGUGCUGGGGCGGACGCUUCAGUGCCGGAGCUAACGCGGUAAGUGCACCGCCUGGGGAGUAUGCUCGCAAGGGUG